rnacentral:rRNA from 1 species
GACGAACGCUGGCGGCGUGCUUAACACAUGCAAGUCGAACGGAAAGGCCCUGCUUUUGUGGGGUGCUCGAGUGGCGAACGGGUGAGUAACACGUGAGUAACCUGCCCUGGACUUUGGGAUAACUUCAGGAAACUGGGGCUAAUACCGGAUAGGAGCUCCUGCUGCAUGGUGGGGGUGGGAAAGUUUCGGCGGUUGGGGAUGGACUCGCGGCUUAUCAGCUUGUUGGUGGGGUAGUGGCUUACCAAGGCUUAGACGGGUAGCCGGCCUGAGAGGGUGACCGGCCACAUUGGGACUGAGAUACGGCCCAGACUCCUACGGGAGGCAGCAGUGGGGAAUAUUGCACAAUGGGCGGAAGCCUGAUGCAGCAACGCCGCGUGCGGGAUGACGGCCUUCGGGUUGUAAACCGCUUUCGCCUGUGACGAAGCGUGAGUGACGGUAAUGGGUAAAGAAGCACCGGCUAACUACGUG